AACGAACGCUGGCGGCAGGCCUAACACAUGCAAGUCGAGCGAAGCCUUCGGGCUUAGCGGCGGACGGGUGAGUAACGCGUGGGAACGUGCCCUUUGGUACGGAAUAGCCCCGGGAAACUGGGAGUAAUACCGUAUGUGGUCGAGAGACGAAAGAUUUAUCGCCAAAGGAUCGGCCCGCGUCGGAUUAGGUAGUUGGUGGGGUAAUGGCCUACCAAGCCGACGAUCCAUAGCUGGUUUGAGAGGAUGAUCAGCCACACUGGGACUGAGACACGGCCCAGACUCCUACGGGAGGCAGCAGUGGGGAAUCUUAGACAAUGGGGGAAACCCCGAUCUAGCCAUGCCGCGUGAUCGAUGAAGGCCUUAGGGUUGUAAAGAUCUUUCAGUGGGGAAGAUAAUGACUGUACCCACAGAAGAAGCCCCGGCUAACUCCGUGCCAGCAGCCGCGGUAACAC
rnacentral:rRNA from 1 species